rnacentral:ncRNA from 1 species
NNNNNUGAACUAUGCAUGAAUAGGGUGAAGCCAGAGGAAACUCUGGUGGAGGCUCGUUGCGGUUCUGACGUGAAAAUCGAUCGUGGAAUUUGGGUAUAGGGGCGAAAGACUAAUCGAACCAUCUAGUAG